rnacentral:misc_RNA from 1 species
UCCGUGUUAACCACGGCAGUCUCUUUAGAGUGCCCAACUGAAUGCUGGCAACUAAAGACAAGGGUUGCGCUCGUUGCGGGACUUAACCCAACAUGUCACCACACGAGCUGACGACAGCCAUGCAGCACCUGUCUUCCUGUCGUAUUGCUACGAAAGCCGUAUCUCUACGGAUGUCAGGAGAUGUCAAACCCAGGUAAGGUUUUUCGCGUUGCUUCGAAUUAAACCACAUGAUCCACCGCUUGUGCGGGCCCCCGUCAAUUCCUUUGAGUUUUAGUCUUGCGACCGUACUUCCCAGGCGGGGUACUUAUUGCGUUAGCUUCGUUUCUGAGGGAGUCAAUACCCCCAAAAACCAGUUCUCAUCGUUUACGGCGUGGACUAC